rnacentral:rRNA from 1 species
GACGAACCACACAAACGUUAUUCGGAAUUACUGGGCUUAAAGGGUGCGUAGGCUGUGCAGAAAGUUAGGUGUGAAAUCCCCCGGCUCAACCGGGGAAUUGCGCUUAAAACUACUGUGCUAGAGGAAGACAGAGGUGAGCGGAACUUCGGGUGGAGCGGUGAAAUGCGUUGAUAUCCGAAGGAACACCGGUGGCGAAAGCGGCUCACUGGGUCUUUCUGACGCUGAUGCACGAAAGCUAGGGGAGCAAACGGG